UUAAGCGACUAAGCGUACACGGUGGAUGCCCUGGCAGUCAGAGGCGAUGAAGGACGUGCUAAUCUGCGAUAAGCGUCGGUAAGGUGAUAUGAACCGUUAUAACCGGCGAUUUCCGAAUGGGGAAACCCAGUGUGAUUCGUCACACUAUCAUUAACUGAAUCCAUAGGUUAAUGAGGCGAACCGGGGGAACUGAAACAUCUAAGUACCCCGAGGAAAAGAAAUCAACCGAGAUUCCCCCAGUAGCGGCGAGCGAACGGGGAGGAGCCCAGAGCCUGAAUCAGUGUGUGUGUUAGUGGAAGCGUCUGGAAAGGCGCGCGAUACAGGGUGACAGCCCCGUACACAAAAAUGCACAUAUUGUGAGCUCGAUGAGUAGGGCGGGACACGUGGUAUCCUGUCUGAAUAUGGGGGGACCAUCCUCCAAGGCUAAAUACUCCUGACUGACCGAUAGUGAACCAGUACCGUGAGGGAAAGGCGAAAAGAACCCCGGCGAGGGGAGUGAAAAAGAACCUGAAACCGUGUACGUACAAGCAGUGGGAGCACGCUUAGGCGUGUGACUGCGUACCUUUUGUAUAAUGGGUCAGCGACUUAUAUUCUGUAGCAAGGUUAACCGAAUAGGGGAGCCGAAGGGAAACCGAGUCUUAACUGGGCGUUAAGUUGCAGGGUAUAGACCCGAAACCCGGUGAUCUAGCCAUGGGCAGGUUGAAGGUUGGGUAACACUAACUGGAGGACCGAACCGACUAAUGUUGAAAAAUUAGCGGAUGACUUGUGGCUGGGGGUGAAAGGCCAAUCAAACCGGGAGAUAGCUGGUUCUCCCCGAAAGCUAUUUAGGUAGCGCCUCGUGAAUUCAUCUCCGGGGGUAGAGCACUGUUUCGGCAAGGGGGUCAUCCCGACUUACCAACCCGAUGCAAACUGCGAAUACCGGAGAAUGUUAUCACGGGAGACACACGGCGGGUGCUAACGUCCGUCGUGAAGAGGGAAACAACCCAGACCGCCAGCUAAGGUCCCAAAGUCAUGGUUAAGUGGGAAACGAUGUGGGAAGGCCCAGACAGCCAGGAUGUUGGCUUAGAAGCAGCCAUCAUUUAAAGAAAGCGUAAUAGCUCACUGGUCGAGUCGGCCUGCGCGGAAGAUGUAACGGGGCUAAACCAUGCACCGAAGCUGCGGCAGCGACGCUUAUGCGUUGUUGGGUAGGGGAGCGUUCUGUAAGCCUGUGAAGGUGUGCUGUGAGGCAUGCUGGAGGUAUCAGAAGUGCGAAUGCUGACAUAAGUAACGAUAAAGCGGGUGAAAAGCCCGCUCGCCGGAAGACCAAGGGUUCCUGUCCAACGUUAAUCGGGGCAGGGUGAGUCGACCCCUAAGGCGAGGCCGAAAGGCGUAGUCGAUGGGAAACAGGUUAAUAUUCCUGUACUUGGUGUUACUGCGAAGGGGGGACGGAGAAGGCUAUGUUGGCCGGGCGACGGUUGUCCCGGUUUAAGCGUGUAGGCUGGUUUUCCAGGCAAAUCCGGAAAAUCAAGGCUGAGGCGUGAUGACGAGGCACUACGGUGCUGAAGCAACAAAUGCCCUGCUUCCAGGAAAAGCCUCUAAGCAUCAGGUAACAUCAAAUCGUACCCCAAACCGACACAGGUGGUCAGGUAGAGAAUACCAAGGCGCUUGAGAGAACUCGGGUGAAGGAACUAGGCAAAAUGGUGCCGUAACUUCGGGAGAAGGCACGCUGAUAUGUAGGUGAAGCGACUUGCUCGUGGAGCUGAAAUCAGUCGAAGAUACCAGCUGGCUGCAACUGUUUAUUAAAAACACAGCACUGUGCAAACACGAAAGUGGACGUAUACGGUGUGACGCCUGCCCGGUGCCGGAAGGUUAAUUGAUGGGGUCAGCGCAAGCGAAGCUCUUGAUCGAAGCCCCGGUAAACGGCGGCCGUAACUAUAACGGUCCUAAGGUAGCGAAAUUCCUUGUCGGGUAAGUUCCGACCUGCACGAAUGGCGUAAUGAUGGCCAGGCUGUCUCCACCCGAGACUCAGUGAAAUUGAACUCGCUGUGAAGAUGCAGUGUACCCGCGGCAAGACGGAAAGACCCCGUGAACCUUUACUAUAGCUUGACACUGAACAUUGAGCCUUGAUGUGUAGGAUAGGUGGGAGGCUUAGAAGUGUGGACGCCAGUCUGCAUGGAGCCGACCUUGAAAUACCACCCUUUAAUGUUUGAUGUUCUAACGUUGACCCGUAAUCCGGGUUGCGGACAGUGUCUGGUGGGUAGUUUGACUGGGGCGGUCUCCUCCUAAAGAGUAACGGAGGAGCACGAAGGUUGGCUAAUCCUGGUCGGACAUCAGGAGGUUAGUGCAAUGGCAUAAGCCAGCUUGACUGCGAGCGUGACGGCGCGAGCAGGUGCGAAAGCAGGUCAUAGUGAUCCGGUGGUUCUGAAUGGAAGGGCCAUCGCUCAACGGAUAAAAGGUACUCCGGGGAUAACAGGCUGAUACCGCCCAAGAGUUCAUAUCGACGGCGGUGUUUGGCACCUCGAUGUCGGCUCAUCACAUCCUGGGGCUGAAGUAGGUCCCAAGGGUAUGGCUGUUCGCCAUUUAAAGUGGUACGCGAGCUGGGUUUAGAACGUCGUGAGACAGUUCGGUCCCUAUCUGCCGUGGGCGCUGGAGAACUGAGGGGGGCUGCUCCUAGUACGAGAGGACCGGAGUGGACGCAUCACUGGUGUUCGGGUUGUCAUGCCAAUGGCACUGCCCGGUAGCUAAAUGCGGAAGAGAUAAGUGCUGAAAGCAUCUAAGCACGAAACUUGCCCCGAGAUGAGUUCUCCCUGACUCCUUGAGAGUCCUGAAGGAACGUUGAAGACGACGACGUUGAUAGGCCGGGUGUGUAAGCGCAGCGAUGCGUUGAGCUAACCGGUACUAAUGAACCGUGAGGCUUAACCUU
rnacentral:rRNA from 1 species